CGCCCGGCCCGCCCGCCGGGGCCUGGGGGCGGGGCCGCCUGCCAGUGUUUUUCCAGUUCCCGGGGCAGCUCGCCGCGUUGCUCACAAGAGGGGAAGCUGGGCCCAGGCCAGUGUCAGGGCACCAGAGGCCCCGGCGGCCUGCGGGGCUGCCAAGCGCAGGGCCCGGCCAGGGCAGAGGUGGGCGAGGAGAACCCUGAGAGUAAGUGAACAUGGUGGUUUAGCUGACCUUGGAGGCCUAUCCAGCUUCAGCGUUCUCAGAACCUCUCUUGCCACCAGGUUCCAGAUGCUAACAUGAUGCCGACCAGACUUCCCUGGACAGAUGACCCGACCAAUAUGUCCUGGAGCUCCGAUUCCCAGAGCCCCACGCUACUAGGGAAAGAGAGAGACAGGCUGGGAGUAUGGAUCGACCAGUCAACGCCCAUGUUCAGUGGGGAAGCAAUUAUA